UCUUCUUCAUUUUCAGAUUAGCCAACUGUCUGUCGGAUAAGACGAGAUAGCCACCUAUUAUUUGAUUCACGUUCUUUUGGCUUCUGCUUAUGAAUAGUCGAAUACAAAUGUGAUAUGUUUAUUAUUUGUAACAAAAAUGGGUAUUUCGAUCAGCUUAAUAAACAUACAUGGUGAUUACUCGAUAUUAACUUGGAGACACUUUUGAGCAGCGGUUUUAUUGGUGUUGGACCACUCCUUUCUUUG